rnacentral:rRNA from 1 species
UGGGGAAUUUUGGACAAUGGGCGAAAGCCUGAUCCAGCCAUGCCGCGUGCAGGAUGAAGGCCUUCGGGUUGUAAACUGCUUUUGUACGGAACGAAAAGCCUCUUUCUAAUAAAGAGGGGUCAUGACGGUACCGUAAGAAUAAGCACCGGCUAACUACGUGCCAGCAGCCGCGGUAAUACGUAGGGUGCAAGCGUUAAUCGGAAUUACUGGGCGUAAAGCGUGCGCAGGCGGUUUUGUAAGACAGAGGUGAAAUCCCCGGGCUCAACCUGGGAACUGCCUUUGUGACUGCAAGGCUGGAGUGCGGCAGAGGGGGAUGGAAUUCCGCGUGUAGCAGUGAAAUGCGUAGAUAUGCGGAGGAACACCGAUGGCGAAGGCAAUCCCCUGGGCCUGCACUGACGCUCAUGCACGAAAGCGUGGGGAGCAAACAGGAUUAGAUACCCUGGUA